UAAGAUGCGGUCACUGGCUACAGAUCAGCCUAGAAGCAUCUGUCCACACAGAUGUGGAUGUUCAAGAGCUGCACUACCGUGACGAAACAACUGACAACCAGAGAGCAAGGCUGCUGAGUCAUUUAUUAUUGAGCUGGGAAGUCACCAUUUGGAAAGACAAGGAAACUUCGCUGAAGAUGAACAAGGUUAAACAGAAGAGAGGUGUGAAAUAGUUGACAGCUCCCACUAAGUUAAAACUAUCUGACCCAACUUGAGAUGGAAAAACAGAAACCAAUGGCUAAUUCACUUGAGAAAUCACCCUCUAAGGCUGCAAACUGCUCUGUUGAAAAGCACAAGAGACACUAUGAAGAGCCAAUGGUGGUGCUGGAUCCCAGAAGUCACAGAUCGCUGACAUCAAAUGAGAAAAACCCUACUGCUCACAAUGCCUCUUCGCCUGUCAAGACCGGAGCUGUAGGACCAGCUGCAGGGCAGAUAAAUGUGUUACCAGAAAUUCUCAUGGAAAGGCAUCCUGGCCAGUUAAAUGUCACACUAGCCUGUGUACACUAGCAAUCUGGAACAUUUUUCUGAUUGUUGGCUAUUUCCUCUACUAGGUAAACUAAGCAAACUGUGGCUAACACGCCAGGGCAUGCUGGCUUGCCAUGUAUGAGCGACUAAUAUUAACAACUGUCUUAAUACCCUAAGGGUGUUUUAUUGUUGUUGUUUUUGUUUUUUUUUAAGAUACACCUCCUCCAGCUCUCACCUCCCUCCAGUAGAAAUCACACCCAACUCAAAACCAGCUAUGGUUUCACUCCUCCUACAAACAGCAGUUCACUUGGGGAGGCAGCUGGUACAGUACAACCCUCUGGACUCCUCUGCCAUUUUUCUCAGCUGGGUGAACUCACUGUAGAGAUGAAAAAGGCCCCUGUGAUGGUGUGCCUGCCACGAGGUAUCAAGAGGGAAUGGAGAGCCAUCAAAUCCCACCUCUCCCUGCAGAGAAACUCCAGUACCACAGUCCAUUGUCUCAACCCACCAAAUGCCUCAUCUUUCCCUUCCUUUUCUCCUUAACACAGCAUUUGUUGCUAGA